rnacentral:rRNA from 1 species
GGGCCCGCACAAGCGGUGGAGCAUGUGGUUUAAUUCGAUGAUACGCGAGGAACCUUACCAGGACUUAAAUGUAAGUUGCAUGAUUCAGAAAUGAAUCUUUCUUCGGACUACUUACAAGGUGCUGCAUGGUUGUCGUCAGCUCGUGCCGUGAGGUGUCAGGUUAAGUCCUAUAACGAGCGCAACCCCUAUCGUUAGUUGCCAUCAAGUAAAGUUGGGAACUCUAGCGAAACUGCCGGUGCAAACCGUGAGGAAGGUGGGGAUGACGUCAAAUCAUCACGGCCCUUACGUUCUGGGCUACACACGUGCUACAAUGGCCGGUACAGAAAGCAGCCACUAUGCGAAUAGGAGCUAAUCUACAAACCAUAUCACAGUUCGGAUCGGAGUCUGCAACUCGACUCCGUGAAGCUGGAAUC